rnacentral:rRNA from 1 species
UCGAGCGGUAGCACAGAGAGCUUGCUCUCGGGUGACGAGCGGCGGACGGGUGAGUAAUGUCUGGGAAACUGCCUGAUGGAGGGGGAUAACUACUGGAAACGGUAGCUAAUACCGCAUAACGUCGCAAGACCAAAGUGGGGGACCUUCGGGCCUCAUGCCAUCAGAUGUGCCCAGAUGGGAUUAGCUGGUAGGUGGGGUAACGGCUCACCUAGGCGACGAUCCCUAGCUGGUCUGAGAGGAUGACCAGCCACACUGGAACUGAGACACGGUCCAGACUCAUACGGGAGGCAGCAGUGGGGAAUAUUGCACAAUGGGCGCAAGCCUGAUGCAGCCAUGCCGCGUGUGUGAAGAAGGCCUUCGGGUUGUAAAGCACUUUCAGCGGGGAGGAAGGCGGUGAGGUUAAUAACCUCACCGAUUGACGUUACCCGCAGAAGAAGCACCGGCUAACUCCGUGCCAGCAGCCGCGGUAAUACGGAGGGUGCAAGCGUUAAUCGGAAUUACUGGGCGUAAAGCGCACGCAGGCGGUCUGUCAAGUCGGAUGUGAAAUCCCCGGGCUCAACCUGGGAACUGCAUUCGAAACUGGCAGGCUAGAGUCUUGUAGAGGGGGGUAGAAUUCCAGGUGUAGCGGUGAAAUGCGUAGAGAUCUGGAGGAAUACCGGUGGCGAAGGCGGCCCCCUGGACAAAGACUGACGCUCAGGUGCGAAAGCGUGGGGAGCAAACAGGAUUAGAUACCCUGGUAGUCCACGCUGUAAACGAUGUCGAUUUGGAGGUUGUGCCCUUGAGGCGUGGCUUCCGGAGCUAACGCGUUAAAUCGACCGCCUGGGGAGUACGGCCGCAAGGUUAAAACUCAAAUGAAUUGACGGGGGCCCGCACAAGCGGUGGAGCAUGUGGUUUAAUUCGAUGCAACGCGAAGAACCUUACCUGGUCUUGACAUCCACAGAACUUUCCAGAGAUGGAUUGGUGCCUUCGGGAACUGUGAGACAGGUGCUGCAUGGCUGUCGUCAGCUCGUGUUGUGAAAUGUUGGGUUAAGUCCCGCAACGAGCGCAACCCUUAUCCUUUGUUGCCAGCGGUCCGGCCGGGAACUCAAAGGAGACUGCCAGUGAUAAACUGGAGGAAGGUGGGGAUGACGUCAAGUCAUCAUGGCCCUUACGACCAGGGCUACACACGUGCUACAAUGGCAUAUACAAAGAGAAGCGACCUCGCGAGAGCAAGCGGACCUCAUAAAGUAUGUCGUAGUCCGGAUUGGAGUCUGCAACUCGACUCCAUGAAGUCGGAAUCGCUAGUAAUCGUAGAUCAGAAUGCUACGGUGAAUACGUUCCCGGGCCUUGUACACACCGCCCGUCACACCAUGGGAGUGGGUUGCAAAAGAAGUA